UGGUUCUGGCAUCGAUGAAGAACGCAGCGAAAUGCGAUAAGUAAUGUGAAUUGCAGAAUUCAGUGAAUCAUCGAAUCUUUGAACGCACAUUGCGCCCACUGGCAUUCCGGUGGGCAUGCCUGUUCGAGCGUCAUUACAACCCUCAAGCUCUGCUUGGUAAUGGGUGACACCUGUGGUGCACCUUAAAAUUAGUGGCGGUGCCAUUAGGCCUCAAUGCGUAGUAAUCUUCUCGCCUUGGAGCUUUAGUGGCUCACCUGCCAAAACCCCCAAUUUUAUCAAAAGGUUGACCUCGGAUCAGGUAGGGAUACCCGCUGA
rnacentral:misc_RNA from 1 species